ensembl:snoRNA
CCGCACAUUUCAUUGUCCUUUUUCGUUACGUUGUCAAGACAAAGGAUAUUUCUGAUGUGCUAAAUAAACCGUUGGAGGUAAAUUAGCAGCAUGAAGAAUUUAGUCAUUGCUGUCAGUCACCUUCAGACAGUC